rnacentral:rRNA from 1 species
GGAGGAAAGCAGGGGAUCGCAAGACCUUGCGCUAUUGGAGCGGCCGAUGCCUGAUUAGCUUGUUGGUGAGGUAAAAGCUCACCAAGGCUUCGAUCAGUAGCUGGUCUGAGAGGACGACCAGCCACACUGGGACUGAGACACGGCCCAGACUCCUACGGGAGGCAGCAGUGGGGAAUUUUGGACAAUGGGGGAAACCCUGAUCCAGCCAUGCCGCGUGAGUGAAGAAGGCCUUCGGGUUGUAAAGCUCUUUCAGCCGGAACGAAACGGUUACGGUUAAUACCCGUGACUACUGACGGUACCGGAAGAAGAAGCACCGGCUAACUACGUGCCAGCAGCCGCGGUAAUACGUAGGGUGCGAGCGUUAAUCGGAAUUACUGGGCGUAAAGCGUGCGCAGGCGGUUUUGUAAGUCAGAUGUGAAAUCCCCGGGCUUAACCUGGGAACUGCGUUUGAAACUACAAAGCUAG